rnacentral:tRNA from 1 species
CGCGGGGUGGAGCAGUGGUAGCUCGUCGGGCUCAUAACCCGAAGGUCGCAAGUUCGAGUCUUGUCCCCGCAA